rnacentral:misc_RNA from 1 species
GCCAAGGAGUUACAGGUAGCACGCAGAGAGAACCAGUGCAAUGAAUGGAAUCAUUGGGAUCCACAAUGCCCUUGUCGAAUUUUCAUGUUAGGACCUUACAUUGGUUGCCAUGGGAAUCCUGGUGAGGGACUGUGCAUGUAGACAGCACUGCCCUCACUGGGAGCUGUGAUAUGAUUCCUAGUUAUAUAACAGAAAAUGGGGGUCAAAUCAAAAGCACUGAUGGUCUUAAUUACCAGGUACGGUAUAUUAAAAUCUCAUCGGAAAAUGGUGUAUCUUUAAGUUCUAAGUGCUGAUGAUUUCAUUAUGUUUGUAAGGAUCCUUUCUUUUUAUUAUCAUUUAAAUGGGUUGGUUUGUGCUCUUAUUUUAAAGCUAGUGUCACUCCUGGCCCAAGAAUAUAAUUUGUAAAGAAAAGCUCUCGUCAUUUGUUGUCAGAUAGAAACUAUUAUAUUGAUUGUUGAUGCAAACUUUUACUUCUAUGUGACAAAAAAUUCACAUGUAAAUAUCGAGAAAUAAAAUAUUUAUAAAAUGCUAAUGAGAUAC